GUACCAGCAGCCGCGGUAAUACCGGCAGCCCAAGUGAUGGCCGAUCUUAUUGGGCCUAAAGCGUCCGUAGCUGGCCACGCAAGUCCAUCGGGAAAUCCACCUGCCCAACAGGUGGGCGCCCGGUAGAAACUGCGUGGCUUGGGACCGGAAGGCGCGACGGGUACGUCCGGGGUAGGAGUGAAAUCCCGUAAUCCUGGACGGACCGCCGAUGGCGAAAGCACGUCGCGAGAACGGAUCCGACAGUGAGGGACGAAAGCCAGGGUCUCGAACCGGAUUAGAUACCCCCGUAGUCC
rnacentral:rRNA from 1 species